CUGGAGGUAUCAGAAGUGCGAAUGCUGACAUAAGUAACGAUAAAGCGGGUGAAAAGCCCGCUCGCCGGAAGACCAAGGGUUCCUGUCCAACGUUAAUCGGGGCAGGGUGAGUCGACCCCUAAGGCGAGGCCGAAAGGCGUAGUCGAUGGGAAACAGGUUAAUAUUCCUGUACUUGGUGUUACUGCGAAGGGGGGACGGAGAAGGCUAUGUUGGCCGGGCGACGGUUGUCCCGGUUUAAGCGUGUAGGCUGGUUUUCCAGGCAAAUCCGGAAAACUAAGGCUGAGGCGUGAUGACGAGGCACUACGGUGCUGAAGCAACAAAUGCCCUGCUUCCAGGAAAAGCCUCUAAGCAUCAGGUAACAUCAAAUCGUACCCCAAACCGACACAGGUGGUCAGGUAGAGAAUACCAAGGCGCUUGAGAGAACUCGGGUGAAGGAACUAGGCAAAAUGGUGCCGUAACUUCGGGAGAAGGCACGCUGAUAUGUAGGUGAAGUCCCUCGCGGAUGGAGCUGAAAUCAGUCGAAGAUACCAGCUGGCUGCAACUGUUUAUUAAAAACACAGCACUGUGCAAACACGAAAGUGGACGUAUACGGUGUGACGCCUGCCCGGUGCCGGAAGGUUAAUUGAUGGGGUCAGCGCAAGCGAAGCUCUUGAUCGAAGCCCCGGUAAACGGCGGCCGUAACUAUAACGGUCCUAAGGUAGCGAAAUUCCUUGUCGGGUAAGUUCCGACCUGCACGAAUGGCGUAAUGAUGGCCAGGCUGUCUCCACCCGAGACUCAGUGAAAUUGAACUCGCUGUGAAGAUGCAGUGUACCCGCGGCAAGACGGAAAGACCCCGUGAACCUUUACUAUAGCUUGACACUGAACAUUGAGCCUUGAUGUGUAGGAUAGGUGGGAGGCUUUGAAGUGUGGACGCCAGUCUGCAUGGAGCCGACCUUGAAAUACCACCCUUUAAUGUUUGAUGUUCUAACGUUGACCCGUAAUCCGGGUUGCGGACAGUGUCUGGUGGGUAGUUUGACUGGGGCGGUCUCCUCCUAAAGAGUAACGGAGGAGCACGAAGGUUGGCUAAUCCUGGUCGGACAUCAGGAGGUUAGUGCAAUGGCAUAAGCCAGCUUGACUGCGAGCGUGACGGCGCGAGCAGGUGCGAAAGCAGGUCAUAGUGAUCCGGUGGUUCUGAAUGGAAGGGCCAUCGCUCAACGGAUAAAAGGUACUCCGGGGAUAACAGGCUGAUACCGCCCAAGAGUUCAUAUCGACGGCGGUGUUUGGCACCUCGAUGUCGGCUCAUCACAUCCUGGGGCUGAAGUAGGUCCCAAGGGUAUGGCUGUUCGCCAUUUAAAGUGGUACGCGAGCUGGGUUUAGAACGUCGUGAGACAGUUCGGUCCCUA
rnacentral:rRNA from 1 species